UACGAAGGGUGCAAGCGUUACUCGGAAUUACUGGGCGUAAAGCGUGCGUAGGCGGUUUGUUAAGUCUGUCGUGAAAGCCCCGGGCUCAACCUGGGAAUGGCGAUGGAUACUGGCGAGCUAGAGUACGGUAGAGGAGAGUGGAAUUCCCGGUGUAGCAGUGAAAUGCGUAGAGAUCGGGAGGAACAUCAGUUGCGAAGGCGGCUCUCUGGACCAGUACUGACGCUGAGGCACGAAGGUCAGGGGAGCAAACGGG
rnacentral:rRNA from 1 species